rnacentral:rRNA from 1 species
GACGGAGGGGGCUAGCGUUGUUCGGAAUUACUGGGCGUAAAGAGCGCGUAGGCGGCUUAAUAAGUUGGGAGUGAAAGCCCGGGGCUUAACCUCGGAAUUGCUUUCAAAACUGUUAGUCUUGAGUGAAGUAGGGGGUGAUGGAAUUCCUAGUGUAGAGGUGAAAUUCUUAGAUAUUAGGAGGAACACCGGUGGCGAAGGCGGUCACCUGGGCUUCAACUGACGCUGAGGCGCGAAAGCGUGGGGAGCAAACAGG